UACAGAGGGGGCAAGCGUUAUUCGGAAUUACUGGGCGUAAAGCGCGUGUAGGCGGCUUUGCAAGUCGGAUGUGAAAGCCCACGGCUCAACCGUGGAAGUGCAUCCGAAACUGCAUGGCUGGAGUCUCGGAGAGGAAGGUGGAAUGCUUGGUGUAGAGGUGAAAUUCGUAGAUAUCAAGCAGAACACCUGCGGCGAAGGCGGCCUUCUGGACGGUGACUGACGCUGAGACGCGAAAGCGUGGGUAGCAAACAGG
rnacentral:rRNA from 1 species